GCGGCAGUGGCGGAAUUGGCAGACGCGCAAGAUUCAGGUUCUUGUGGGCAGUGCGCCCGUGGGGGUUCAAGUCCCUUCUGCCGCA
rnacentral:tRNA from 1 species